rnacentral:lncRNA from 1 species
AACUCGGACACACAGUAAUUGGCCUAAGGUGGCAAACAAGGACAGAGGGACCGCUCCUAAGAAUGCAUGUUUUCUCGUGCAUACUUGCUUCAGGUCUCUUGAGCAGCAUCAUUUCCGUGAUCCCCUUUAUAUUUGUAUUAAUACUGAGAGCGAACACUUGGUGCUGAUCUCAGGGUCUGGAAAACUCAGAUGACUUGUUUACUACCACAACCUGCAGGUGAGCAGAAGUUAGAUUUUGGUGACUGAUGAGCAGUCAUGUGUACGAGUCAUGUGCAACCUGGGCUGAGCAUCAGAAUCACCCCUGAAGCUUUUAAACAGCGCUGAUGUUCUAGGCCCUCCUGGAGAUUGACUUAUCNNNNNNNNNNNNNNNNNNNNNNNNNNNNNNNNNCCAGUUUUAGAAAGCUUUGCAGGUAAUUUCCAUACAGAGCUAGGGGAAGGCUGCAGGGUGAGUCCCAGCCCCUGAUUGAAGUCACCCCUGCAAGGCAGUGUCCUGCAGUCUGGUCUCUGGACUUGUGUUUUGGUCUUUUCUUAAGCAGUGUGGUAGUUACCCUCAUUAACAAGAAACAGCAAAUUAGGUCAAUCCCAAAGUUCAGGCAGUGCCAAAGUACAGCUAAUAUGCAUUUGCAGGGCAGCCUUCUGCUGGAAUGGAUAAUUGUCUUCCCCAAGAGUUACCUUGAAAGGACUAGAAUGAGCCAGAAGCUCACAUUCUGCUAAUCAUCUUCACUGAGAUACAUGGAUCUGAGCCUUUCAUGAGCCCAUUCUUGUUUUUAGUCUUUGUCUCAUUGCCACUGUAAUAAAUUGUAUAUGUUGAUCCCUCUAGCACGAACAAGUACUGUUGUUUCUUUCUAUUUGGCCUCAUACUUUUUUUUCUGGCCUAAGGAAGCUCUUUGAAGACUAUAUUCUUCCCAGCUGCAAGGAGGUUACAGAACCAGCACGAAAUCACAGGAGAUAGAUAACAAAAACACAUUCUCAGAACAGGAGCUGCUCUGCUCCCCUCUUCUCCCAGGCAGACACUCCCAUCUUUCCUGGCUCAGCAGAACUAAAAGGGGAUUUGGCCACAUCCCUCCUCCUUGAAAGGCUGCCAACCUCUCCCCAGAGACUGUCAGGAAAGGCCUUUGUCUAGUGGGGCACAGGCAAAGCUUGUGCUUUGGAAAGAAUCUCUUCCACCGCUGGCUGAACAGAAGAAUAGUUAGGUCUUGCAGUUCCCCACAAUGUGAGGAUCAAGUAUCUGCCCUACCAGGUAGGAGUUUGCAGUGUGAGGUAAAAGGCAGCAUAUGGCAUUUUUUAAGAUUUUCUCCACUUCCUUAUUGAAAGCUGCAUUCCCCUUAUCAAAUCCUAUGUC